rnacentral:rRNA from 1 species
ACAUACAAGUAGUAGGGAAGGAAACUGGACCGACCCUUCGGGGAGCUUGUACAGGUGCUGCAUGGCUGUCGUCAGCUCGUGUCGUGAGAUGUUCGGUUAAGUCCGCUAACGAGCGCAACCCUCGCUGUGUGUUAUAUGUGUCACACGGGACUGCCGGUCUUAAGCCGGAGGAAGGUGGGGAUGAUGUCAAGUCAGCAUGGCCUUUAUAUCCUGGGCUACACACACGCUACAAUGGCCAGCACAGUAGGUUGCUAAGCCGCGAGGUGGAGCCAAUCCAUAAAGCUGGUCUCAGUUCAGAUUGCAGGCUGCAACCCGCCUGCAUGAAGAUGGAGUUGCUAGUAACCGCAGGUCAGCUAUACUGCGGUGAAUACGUUCCCGGGGCUU